rnacentral:rRNA from 1 species
AGCGAACGCUAGCGGAUGGCUUAACACAUGCAAGUCGAGCGGGCAGCUUCGGCUGUCUAGCGGCGAACGGGUGCGUAACACGUGGGUAAUCUGCCUUCUGGUGGGGGAUAACCCGACGAAAGUCGGGCUAAUACCGCAUAUGGCCUACGGGUCAAAGCAGCAAUGCGCCAGUUGAUGAGCCCGCGGCCCAUUAUUUAAUCCUAGUUGGCGGGGUAACGGCCCACCAAGGGUACGAUGGGUAGCUGGUCUGAGAGGACGAUCAGCCACACUGGGACUGAGACACGGCCCAGACUCCUACGGGAGGCAGCAGUGGGGAAUAUUGCGCAAUGGGCGAAAGCCUGACGCAGCCAAUCCGCGUGGGUGAUGAAGGCCUCGGUUGUAAG